UACGUAGGGGGCAAGCGUUGUCCGGAUUUAUUGGGCGUAAAGCGCUCGCAGGUGGUUCGUCGCGUCGUGCGUGAAAGACCCCGGCUCAACUGGGGGGUGUCGUGCGAUACGGGCGGACUGGAGGCCAGUAGGGGGAUGCGGAAUUCCAGGUGUAGCGGUGAAAUGCGCAGAUAUCAGGAGGAACACCGGUGGCGAAGGCGGGUCUCUGGGCAGUAACGUGACGCUGAGGAGCGAAAGCGUGGGGAGCGAACAGG
rnacentral:rRNA from 1 species